GCAUAGGACUGACCAAGAUGGGAACAUCCUCCUUCAACAGCUGAAAAACAAGUUAGAUGACGUGAAGUUUCCUUAGGUUUUGCUGAAAGCUGGGAAGUAUCCCAAGAUUGAACAGAAAGUUCAAAGAGGUUCCAUGACCCUCAAAAUAAUUCAUUGCAACUGGAACUGACUAGCACACUUUACAAAUAUUUUCACCAUGCUUUCCACUAAUCACUGAUUGUGAUUUAGAGGUGAAAAAAGAUACAUCUUGGAAGAUUUCAUCGAAAUUAACAUCAAGCUGAAGAAGAUAAUUUUAUAGCUGCACUUUUUGCUAUAGCAAACACCAGGGCAAAAUAUGGCCAGACAGUCAACUGGGACAGCAUGACACAUCACUGGAAAAAAUGAUUGUUGAGUACAAAAUUACGAGAAAAGUAAAAUCAUUGUUGAAGCCA
rnacentral:lncRNA from 1 species